CGGCGGACGGUGAGUAACACGUGGACAAUCGUGACCCCCCGGCCGGGAUAGCCCAGGGAAACCUGGAUUAAUACCGGAUGAGACGGGACCGCGAUGGCGGGAUCCGGGAAAGGCGCUGCGGCGCGCCGGGGAUGAGUCUGCGUCCCAUUAGCUAGACGGCGGGUAACGGCCCACCGUGGCGACGAUGGGUAGCCGGCCUGAGAGGGUGGACGGCCACAUUGGAACUGAGACACGGUCCAGACUCCUACGGAGGCAGCAGCUAAGAAUCUUCCGCAAUGGGCGAAAGCCUGACGGAGCGACGCCCGCGUGAACGAAGAAGGCCGUGAGGUUGUAAAGUUCUUUUCGGGAGGGGGAACAACCGUGGCAGGGAAUGGCCGCGGGAUGACGUGAAUCCCGGAAUAAGCCCCGGCUAACUACGUGCCAGCCGCAGC
rnacentral:rRNA from 1 species